UAGGGAAUCUUCGGCAAUGGACGGAAGUCUGACCGAGCAACGCCGCGUGAGUGAAGAAGGUUUUCGGAUCGUAAAGCUCUGUUGUAAGAGAAGAACGAGUGUGAGAGUGGAAAGUUCACACUGUGACGGUAUCUUACCAGAAAGGGACGGCUAACUACGUGCCAGCAGCCGCGGUAAUACGUAGGUCCCGAGCGUUGUCCGGAUUUAUUGGGCGUAAAGCGAGCGCAGGCGGUUAGAUAAGUCUGAAGUUAAAGGCUGUGGCUUAACCAUAGUACGCUUUGGAAACUGUUUAACUUGAGUGCAAGAGGGGAGAGUGGAAUUCCAUGUGUAGCGGUGAGAUGCGUAGAUAUAUGGAGGAACACCGGUGGCGAAAGCGGCUCUCUGGCUUGUAACUGACGCUGAGGCUCGAAAGCGUGGGGAGCAAACAGGAUUAGAUACCCUGGUAGUCCACGCCGUAAACGAUGAGUGCUAGGUGUUAGACCCUUUCCGGGGUUUAGUGCCGCAGCUAACGCAUUAAGCACUCCGCCUGGGGAGUACGACCGCAAGGUUG
rnacentral:rRNA from 1 species